rnacentral:tRNA from 1 species
AAUAGUACGCCGGAUGAACGGAAAUCAGUGAUAUUGGUUUUAUAAAAGCCGUUGGAGUUUUUUAGUAUUA